GGACCCAAAAUAACAAUUCUUCUGCGGAGGUCGAUGUAAGAGUCUCCUGGGCCCGAGUUCUUCUUCCCGGGAUUUGGCUUCCUACUUCCCGGACUGUCAGGACACUACCGAUGCCAUAGUAAUCUGAGCCGGGAUAUCCCUUCUUAAAUCAGCCGGUGGGACCCAUGAUGGAAGGCCAGAAAACAGAUGAGAAGGGACCAGAGAGGACAGUCGUCCUCACUUUCCUUUUCCUACUCAUCUUUAAGGACGACGCCAAAAGUAUGCCCCUGUAGCGUCAGGAAUGGCGCAGUCCAACCGCCUCAGUCUUGCACCGUUAGCAGCAACACUCUGGGCCAAGGUUCUGCUUCCGAGGUCACCCCCGCUUGGGCAGCCUCUGGCCUCCGGCGUCCAGUCACCUAAACCUCAAACAGGCUGGACUAGCCAGGUUAGGAGAGGUGAGUGAAAUGACAAAAGCUUAGAGGACAUAUUACUUUUUCUAAACAAAACCACGAGAGACUAAACAGACAUAAGCAGGCAUUGUAGAUAGGCCUCCGGUGUUGGUUUUGUGUUGUUUGUUCGUUACUAUUAUUGAAAGCCCUCCCCUUCCUCAGAAUCUCUGCCCCAACUCAGUCUUUUACUGAGACUUUUCCUAGUAUCCAAGGCCCCUACUAGGAGUAAGGAUCUUAAAAUUCUACUGGAAGCUGGUUGACCCUACAUCUUGGAUGCCAUCUUCACUGUACUUACGAGUUGAUUUCAGAUCGUUUUGUUCCCUUCUUAUCUUUCUUCCCCUUUCCCCCCUUUUUUGAGACAGUAUAUUUUUUCCCUGGCCGCUGUUAUAUUCCUUGGUUCAAGCCACUGGCCUGUGGAGUAAGUAGGAAUAUAUCCAUGUGCCCUCCAUGCUAGACUAAACCUCAGCUUCUGUAUAAUAAUGACUAUUAUUAUAAUAAUAUAGUAACAA